UGUAAACCUUUAUGCUAUAGAGUAAUCUCCUGUGUAUGUGUGCACGUGGAGCCUGUUUGUGUGACUGGUGUGUGUGUACCCUGGUUCAGGUUUGUAUACAGAUGUUUGUUUAUAAGCUCUGUCCUGUUAGGGAGAAUGUUCUUAGAGGGAACAACAGGUUGUGUGCUUAUCCGCUUCCAGGAAGAUUAAAACAAGUUCCCUUUUCUGAAACCACUGCUCACACACAUCCUGACAUUAACACACCCUUCUGCAUAACUGACUAAAGUCUAUCAGUGGUAAAGUAUAUGAUUAUAUGUUUAUGUAUUGCAUGCUAUGAAUAGGUUAUAUAAUUAUAUUGGAGGAAGGGGGCAGAGGGGUCAGGUGGUAAUUAAGGGCAACAACCCCUGAACCUCAGCUGUAAAGGGACGUUAAUUAUUAAUGCACGCAUAUUGGGGGGGAUUUCCACUAGUUACAACAGCUACAAAGUAAAAGUUGGCUAUAUUGUAAAACUUAAUGGGGAAAAAAUAGCUUUGUGCUCUUAAUUUAUAGUUAGGCAUAAGGUCAGCAGUAGUGUGGGUAGGAUUAGGGUUACAAUCUUUAAAGAGAAAUGGUCGAAAUAGGCGGGGUUUAUGACUUUGUGGCUGUGCUAACUAUAGUGGCGACCAGUGGAUGAGAGAGCCACAGCCUGAUUUGGCACAGACAGGACGUAGGCUGUAUGUGUUUGUACCCCAUUUACAGAACUGGGAGGUUGAGUGCUCCUGUCAACGAGUGAAAACUGCGCUUGCAUCGGGCGCUGUGAAAAUGGCGGAUGACUGCGCUAGGCUCAGUACAAUAAUUGGUCAAUGUUCGCACGGCAGACUUUGCCCGGUGAGGGAGUGUUGUGUGUACGGAAAUCCAGUAAUGUGGCGCGAGCAGCUGUCAAGCAAAACUAGUAGCGGAACGGGGGCUCCUCGGGCUGUCAAGCGAGUCGACCGCUGGAGCGCGCAAGGGCUAUAGCCCAGACCCCCAUUGAUACUACUGCUGCUGCCAUGGAGAGGAAACAGUCCCCAGCUCCAGGCUGAGUUUCUGAGGAGAGCAAGCCGUGGUCUGAGAACUGUCUCCUGUGACACCAGCGAUGUCCUCACCUCCCCCAGCUCCACCCUGGUCUCCCCCUUUACCUCCAUCACCACCUCCACCCUUACCUCCCCCCCACAGCCCCUGUCCUCCUCCAUGCCCACUAAAGAGGGUGAGUUUUGAAGCAGUGCCAUGGUCUAGUACUGAUAGUAGUCAUGUGAUGCUUGUCUCUCUCCAGUUCUCAGCUACUGAAUAGUAGUAGUAGUGGUUGUGUCGUUAUAGUAUACUAGUAGUAAUGUCGGUAUAGUAUACGAGUAGUAUUGUCGGUAUAGUAUACUAGUAGUAAUAGUGUCGUUAUAGUAUACUACUAGUAGUAGUGUCCUUAUAGAAUACUACUAAUUGUAGUGUCGUUAUUGCAUACUAGUGUCGUUAUAGAGUAGCAGUAGUGUCGUUAUAGUAUACUACUAGUUGUAGUGUCAUUAUAGUAAACUACCACCAGUAGUGGUAGUGUAGUUAUAGUAAACUAAUAGUAGUGUAGUAGUAGUUAUAGUAAACUACCAGUAGUAGUGGUAGUAGUGUAGUAGUAGUAGUAGUAGUGUAGUUAUAGUAUACUAGUAGAAGUAGUAGUGGUGUUAUAGUAUACCAGUAGUAGUAAUGGAGUUAUAGUAUACCAGUAGUAGUAAUGGAGUUAUAGUAUACCAGUAGUAGUAAUGGAGUUAUAGUAUACUAGUAGUGGUAGUAGUGUAGUAGUAGUAGUGUAGUCGUAGUUAUAGUAAACUACCAGUGGUAGUAGUGUAGUUAUAGUAUACUAGUAGAAGUAGUAGUGGUGUUAUAGUAUACCAGUAGUAGUAAGGGAGUUAUAGUAUACCAGUAGUAGUAAUGGAGUUAUAGUAUACCAGUAGUAGUAAUGGAGUUAUAGUAUACUAUUAGUGGUAGUAGUGUCGUUAUAGUAUACUAGUAGUGGUAGUAGUGUCGUUAUAGUAUACUACUACUAGUAGUGUCAUUAUAGCAUACUACUAAUUGUAGUGUCGUUAUUGCAUACUAGUGUCGUUAUAGAGUAGCAGUUGUGUCGUUAUAGUAUACUUCUAAUUGUAGUGUCGUUAUAGUAAACUACCACCAGUAGUAGAAGUGGUAGUGUAGUUAUAGUAAACUAGUAGUAGUGUAGUCGUAGUUAUAGUAAACUACCAGUGGUAGUAGUAGUAGUGUAGUUAUAGUAUACUAGUAGAAGUAGUAGUGGUGUUAUAGUAUACCAGUAGUAGUAAUGGAGUUAUAGUAUACCAGUAGUAGUAAUGGAGUUAUAGUAUACCAGUAGUAGUAAUGGAGUUAUAGUAUACUAGUAGUGGUAGUAGUGUCGUUAUAGUAUACUAGCAGUGGUAGUAGUGUCGUUAUAGAAUACUACUAGUAGUGACUGUGUAGUUUACUGUCAAUAGUGUAGUUAUAGUAUACUAAGUAGUAGUAGUAGUGUAGUUGUAGUGUACUAUUAGUAAUGUACUUACAGUCUAAUAGUAUGCGUGUUACUAUAGAAUACUAGUAGUAGUGUCGUUAUAGUAUACUAGUAGUAGUGUUGUUUUAGUAUACUAGUAGUAGUGUCGUUUUAGUAUACUAGUAGUAGUGUCAUUUUAGUAUACUGGUAGUAGUGGUGUAGUUAUAGUAUACUAAUAGUAGUUGUAGUGUGGUUAUAGUAUACUAGUAGUAGCGGUGUAGUUAUAGUAUUCCAGUAGUAGUGUAGUUAUGGUACACUAGUGUUUGUAGUGUAGUUAUAGUAUACUAGUAGUGUAGUCAUAGUAGUAGCCGUGGUGUAAAGUACUUCAGUAAAAAUACUUGAAAGUACUACUUAAGUCUUUUUUUUAGUCUUAGUCUUUACUUUACUAUUUAUAUUUUUGACUACUUUUUCUUCACUACAUUCCUUUAUUUUUUUUUGAAUUUUUACCCCCUUUUCUCCCCAAUUUCGUGGUAUCCAAUUGUUGUAGUAGCUACUAUCUUGUCUCAUCGCUGCAACUCCCGUACGGGCUCGGGAGAGACGAAGGUUGAAAGUCAUGCGUCCUCCGAUACACAACCCAACCUAGCCGCACUGCUUCUUAACACAGUGCGCAUCCAACCCGGAAGCCAGCCGCACCAAUGUGUCGGAGGAAACACCGUGCACCUGGCAACCUUGGCUAGCGCGCACUGCGCCCGGCCCCGCCACAGGAGUCGCUGGUGCGCGAUGAGACAAGGACAUCCCUACCGACCAAGCCCUCCCUAACCCGGACGACGCUGGGCCAAUUGUGCGUCGCCCCAUGGACCUCCCGGUCGCGGCCGGUUACGACAGAGCCUGGGCGCGAACCCAGAGUCUCUGAUGUCACAGCUGGCGCCACCCGGGAGGCCUUCACUACAUUCCUAAAGAAAAUAAUGUACUUUUUACUCAAUACGUUUUCUCUGAAACCCAAACGUACUCGUUACAUUUUGAAUGCUUAGCAGGACAGGAAAAUUGUCCAAUUCAUGUACUUAGCAAGAGAAUGUCCGUGGUCAUCCCUGUUGCUUCUGAUCUUGCGGACUCACUAAACACAAAUGCUUAUUUUGUAAAUGAUGUCUGAGUGUUGGAGUGUGCCCUUGGCUAUCCGUAAAUAAAAAAACAAGAAAAUGGUGCCGUCUGGUUUGCUUAAUAUAAGGAAUUUGAAAUGAUUUAUGCUUUUACUUUCAAUACUUAAGUAUAUUUUAACAAUUACAUUUAGUUUUGAUAAUUUAGGAUAUUUAAAACCAAAUACUUUUAGACUUUUAAUCAAGUAGUAUUUUACUGGGUGACUUUCACAAAGAUACCUUAGUCAUUUUCUAAGGUAUCUUUACUUUUACUCAAGUAUGACAAUUGGGUACGUUUUCCACCACUGACUAGUAGACUAGUUACAGUAUACUAACAGUAGUAGUGCCAUUAUAGUAUACUGCUGGUAGCAGUGUCAUUAUAGUAUAUUACUACUAGUAGUAAUGUCGUUAUAGUAUACUAGUAGUAGUGUUGGUAUAUUAUACUAGUAGUAGUGCCGUUACUGUAUACUAGUAGCAGUGUAGUUAUAGUAUACAUGUAGGAGUGCAGUUAUAGUAUACUAGUAGUAGUAGUUUAGUUAUAGUAUACUAGUAGAAGUGUAGUUAUAGUGUACUAGUAGUAGUGAUAGUGUAGUUAUAGAAUGUGUGUAGUAGUGUAGUUAUAGUAUACUAGUAGUGUAGUUAUAGUAUACUAGUAUUAUUAGUGUAGUUAUAGUAUACUACCAGUAGUAGUGUAGUUAUAGUAUACUAUUGUAGUAGUUGAGCAGUUAUAGUAUACUACUAGAGUAGUGUAGUUAUGGUAUACUAGUGG
rnacentral:lncRNA from 13 species